AGCUUUGCGCAGUGGCAGUAUCGUAGCCAAUGAGGUUUAUCCGAGGCGAGAUUAUUGCUAAUUGUAAAAGGUUCACCUCAGAUGUGGCUACAGCCUACGACAAGGUAAGAAUGGGAAACUAUUAUAUAAUAGUUUCUGUUUAGAAUGAUGAAAAACUUUUGGAAACCAAUAGUGGU
rnacentral:snRNA from 1 species